UUAGUGGCGGACGGGUGAGUAACGCGUGGGUAACCUGCCCUAUACAGGGGGAUAACAACCAGAAAUGGUUGCUAAUACCGCAUAAGCGCACAGGACCGCAUGGUCCGGUGUGAAAAACUCCGGUGGUAUAGGAUGGACCCGCGUUGGAUUAGCCAGUUGGCAGGGUAACGGCCUACCAAAGCAACGAUCCAUAGCCGGCCUGAGAGGGUGAACGGCCACAUUGGGACUGAGACACGGCCCAG
rnacentral:rRNA from 1 species